UACGUAGGUGGCAAGCGUUGUCCGGAUUUACUGGGCGUAAAGAGUAUGUAGGCGGACAUUUAAGUAGAAAGUGAAAGGUUGGAGCUUAACUCCAACACUGCUUCCUAUACUGGGUGUCUUGAGUGCCGGAGAGGAAAGCGGAACGACACGUGUAGCGGUGAAAUGCGUUGAUAUGUGUCGGAACACCAAUGGCGAAGGCAGCUUUCUGGACGGAGCCGCAAGGCUUAAAACUGACGCUGAGAUACGAAAGCGUGGGGAGCGAACAGG
rnacentral:rRNA from 1 species